GAUCCCUUCCCGAACUCAGAAGUGAAACCUCUUAGCGCUGAUGGUAGUGUGGGGUUACCCAUGUGAGAGUAAGUCAUCGCCAGCU
rnacentral:rRNA from 3 species